CAAAUGGGGCUGGCCUCCUUUGCUGACUUGCAAGGCUGUCCUAGAAAUGCAAUGACAUCUGGUUUCACCUUGGUUCCCCCCAAGCACUGAGCUAAAUACCAAAUAAUAACAAAGGAGCUCUUUCUAAGGUGCAGAUAUGAUCUUGUCUCAUCUAGGAAGAAAGUCUACAGACACAUGGACAUUUUAUUAUUCAACUACUUUUUCCCCCAAAUACAUUAAACUUUGAGAAUGAUGGUACUUUUUACAUUCAUUCAUAAGUGGGGUCAUCCUCUAACACUACUGAGGCAGUUUAGUAUGACAGAAAGAGCACUGGAUCAGGAGCCAAGCCACUAGCUUCAAAUAGCAGUGCUGCCAUGACCAUCCAAGUGACCCUUGAUGACUGUGCCACACUCUGUGCCUUACUUUAUCUGCCAAAGGAAGGCCACAACCACAAAGUCUUGGUCUUCCUUGAGUAAGCAAUCAUAAAUCAGAACAAAGGCAGAGUUCGCUUUUACUUUUUAAAAAUUCCUAUGAUGGGGAAACAAUGGAUCUUCCUGAAAGAGAGACGGAGAUGCCUGGCGCGGUGGCUCACGCCUGUAAUCCCAGCACUUUGGGAGGCCGAGGCAGGCGGAUCACUUGAGGUCAGGAGUUUGAGACCAGCCUAGCCAACAUGGUGAAACCCUGUCUCUACUAAAAAUACAAAAAUUACCAGGUGUGGUGGCACGCACCUGUAAUCCUAGCUACUCGGGAGGCUGAGGCAAGAGAAUUGCUUGAAUCUGGGAGGUGGAGGUUGCAGUGAGCAGAGAUCGCGCCACUGCACUCCAGCCUGGGCGACAAAGUGAGACUGUCUCAAAAAAAAAAGAGAGAGAUAGAGACAUACACAUACACCCACCCAUACAUAUUUAUAUUUUAUAUCAGAAAACACACUAACAUUGUACAACCACCUACUGAGAUUCUUUUAUUCAGAAAACCAUGCUGCAUUCCCUAUUCUUCCUAUAAAAAUUGGUAAUUUUCAUCUACUGACAAACUUGCUCAAAUUUGAUACAGGCAUGGAAAUCGAGGGGGGGAAAGUAGAUAGAAGAGGGGAACAAAAGAUUUCAGCUGCCCUUGAUGUCAACAGAAAAAUUUAAACCAUACAUAUCCAGAGGAUACAGAAAUGCCAAAAUCCCAGUUCCUUCCUUUCUCCAGAGUGCUGCAGUUCAAAGAGCAUGGGCUUCAGAGCCAGUCAGAAUGAUCCACAUCUUGGCUCUGUUAUUUGCUAGUUUCACGAUGCUAUGACCACCAGUCUACUUCUUAGUAAAAUGGAGGUGACAAUGCAUCCCUUACAGGGCAGGUAAGAGAAAUGACAUGAGAUAGUACAUGUGCAGGUCCAGCACAUAGAAGCCCCUCAAUCAAUGCUGGCUUCGACCCUCCUGACUUCAAGAUAAUAACUUGAUUCGAAGAUCAGGUCUUGCAGACUCAAGAGAAGCACAGGGGGAGAGCUGGCAUGGGUGCACCAUAAUGAGAGAGACGAGAUGCAGGGAAUAAGAGUUUGCAGAAACGAUCAGAUAAUGAAACACCUUAUAUCUUUCCAAAGAGGUGAAUCAUUUUCUUUUAGGUGUCAAAUGAAUAGCCAAGUGUAUCACAAUCAAAAUCUAUCAUGGAAAAAGCCAGAGAGAUACUCAUUUCAAAUGAGCAGUAGCUUCUAUUGAUGCAGAAGCCUCUGUGACACUGAGUCACUUGAUAUUUACAAGAUAAAUACACACUCCCCCACAGCUCCUUCUUGGAUGGAGAAGU
rnacentral:lncRNA from 10 species